GACGAACGCUGGCGGCGUGCUUAACACAUGCAAGUCGAACGGAAAGGCCCUGCUUUUGUGGGGUGCUCGAGUGGCGAACGGGUGAGUAACACGUGAGUAACCUGCCCUUGACUUUGGGAUAACUUCAGGAAACUGGGGCUAAUACCGGAUAGGAGCUCCUGCUGCAUGGUGGGGGUUGGAAAGUUUCGGCGGUUGGGGAUGGACUCGCGGCUUAUCAGCUUGUUGGUGGGGUAGUGGCUUACCAAGGCUUUGACGGGUAGCCGGCCUGAGAGGGGGACCGGCGACAUUGGGACUGAGAUACGGCCCAGACUCCUACGGGAGGCAGCAGUGGGGAAUAUUGCACAAUGGGCGGAAGCCUGAUGCAGCAACGCCGCGUGCGGGAUGACGGCCUUCGGGUUAUAAACCGCUUUCGCCUGUGACGAAGCGUGAGUGACGGUAAUGGGUAAAGAAGCACCGGCUAACUACGUG
rnacentral:rRNA from 1 species